UGGGGAAUUUUGGACAAUGGGGGAAACCCUGAUACAGCCAUCCCGCGUGUGCGAUGAAGGCCUCCGGGUUGUAAAGCACUUUUGGCAGGAAAGAAACGUCAUGGGUUAAUACCCCGUGAACCUGACGGUACCUGCAGAAUAAGCACCGGCUAACUACGUGCCAGCAGCCGCGGUAAUACGUAGGGUGCAAGCGUUAAUCGGAAUUACUGGGCGUAAAGCGUGCGCAGGCGGUUCGGAAAGAAAGAUGUGAAAUCCCAGAGCUCAACUUUGGAACUGCAUUUUUAACUACCGGGCUAGAGUGUGAGAGAGGGAGGUGGCAUUCCGCGUGUAGCAGUGAAAUGCGUAGAUAUGCGGAGGAACACCGAUGGAGAAGGCAGCCUCCUGGGAUAACACUGACGCUCAUGCACGAAAGCGUGGGGAGCAAACAGG
rnacentral:rRNA from 1 species